rnacentral:misc_RNA from 1 species
GAUGAAGAACGCAGUGAAAUGCGAUAAGUAAUGUGAAUUGCAGAAUUCAGUGAGUCAUCGAAUCUUUGAACGCACAUUGCGCCCUGUGGUAUUCCGCAGGGCAUGCCUGUUCGAGCGUCAUUUCAACCCUCAAGCCUCGCUUGGUGUUGGGCCCUGCCCGCCGCGGCCGGCCCUAAAGAUAGUGGCGGCGCCGCCUGGCCCUCAGCGUAGUACAGCUCUCGCUCCAGGGUCCGGCGGCAGCCUGCCAGAACCCCCCAACUCUGUGGUUGACCUCGGAUCAGGUAGGGAUACCCGCUGAACUUAAGCAUAUCAAUAAGCGGAGGA